UAAGCACGUAUAGACAGGGGAAUUGCUAGAGACUUGAGAAAACUUGAUUUCAGUCGGUGAAAAAGGAGAAUUUGUAAUAAUACGAAACGCAAUGGUCUCUACUCAAAACUGAUAAAUUCAUGAAUAAGAAGAAGCCUCACCGGUGUGUUUCGUUGCUACGGGAAAAUGAACGAGGAAAAGGUCGAGGUAAUCAAGUUGAAGUUUCUUGAGACUGUCUUUGCACGCCUCAAUAACAUGGCCAUGAUCUGAAUUCCAUAGCUACAAAACCAAGACAGAUUCAGAACUCAUAGCUUUGUCACUUAUAAUUAUUCGAACUGAAACAAAAAUUGAGAUCAUAGCUAUAUAGUAUUCGUUUGGACCUUGGUCGUAAUGAAGAGAUCCUCCCUCUUAACCAGACCAGUCUUGAAUGCUUCUGUAAGAGCCUCACCAACUUCGGCCUCGUUCCUAUAAUCAGCUGCACCAAGUAACCCCAAAACAUACUCAUAAAUCAAGACACAGAACAAAGCAACUCAAAUGAAAAAACAAAAAUAAAAAUGAACUAAAAAGCUAUCAUAGACAAUGAGUCAUCUACACAGCAAAAGACUUUAGAUCAUUCUAUGAUUCCAAAUACCUACAAGUGCAGAAUCAGAUGCAAAUAAAGAUCUACAGAGAGCAAGUUGUACAGACUAGAAAACUCAAAUCUUGGACAUAUUUUGCAAGAAAGAUUCCAGCUUUCAACAAACCCACAAUUCUAUUCACAUAUCCAUACGAACCGCAAUCGACAAAGACGAGAAAGAAAAGGUUUUGAGAGAACACAAGUUAUACCAGCACAGUCGAGAUGGCGAUAGCCGAUCUUGAUGGCAUUGAUGAUAAGGUCUCGAAUCCCUUCCUUCUCCAUUCUCCACACUCCUAAGCCGACGAUCGGCAUCUUGAAACCACUGUUCAGUGUUAUCUCCAUUUCUUCUUCUCGCUUCUCUUCCUCAAUCCCUGAUUGGGUAAAUAUCUGCUCAGAUUGAGAGUUUCUCAGUGUGUGUUUUUGGUAACGCACACGUUAGAUAAAGGGGCCAUGAUUCCUAGCAAUUAUUUUAGGCCCAAUGGGCCAGAACCAUUUAUUUAUUAGGCCCAAUACCGUUGAUGUGAGACAAACAAGAAGAAACGUUCGUUUAUCACUUAUCAGAGGUCCCCAAGUUUGCAUCUUUUUUUUCCUCUGAUAAUCUCUCAAGGCGAGUUUUCAAUUUUGUAAAGUUCUAAGCUUUGGUAUUGUUUGUAUUGAUCUCACUCUUAAUUCGAUAAUAGUAGAAUUUGUGAUCGGAAUCUCUUUUUUUUUUUUCUGGGGAUUUUCGGUGAGUUGUAUUGGAAAAGGUGUGAUUUUGAAACUUGUAGAUGGUUCUGCUGCUGAGAUUCGAAAAUUUGAGGUCUUAGGUUUUUGAUAGAAGGUUUAGUUAUCUCUGUUACUCUUCUCUUCUUAAGCUUCAUUUAUUCAUAUAGAUAGUGAGAGAGAGUGAGAGUGUGUGUGUGUGUGAUCAAGCGUAGAGCUCAAUUCCCCAAAACUUGGCUGUUUGGUGCGUGCGGUAUUUCCUGUCCAUGCUCUUGAUCACUUCCAUGUCCUCUUUUGAUAGUUCGAAGUCGAAAACUUGAAAAUUCUCUUCCAAUCUUGCAGGCUUUGAUGUCUUUGGUAUCACCACUGUGUUUCUCUGAAUUCCCCACCUCAGGACAACCUGUGCCACUGUCUUUUUGUACUUCUCCGCCACAUCCUAAGAAUUCAGACAAACACACUCCUUUUUAGCUAUCAAAGGUUCAAUCUUUUAACUCCAAACUUGUAAGGUUUAGAGAGGAUGUGGCUUACUUUGAGAACUGGGUCAUCCAGGCAUGACACAGAGCCAAACCAUUCGGCAUUGGCUGUGGCACCUCCGAGGGGAGUAUGAGCGGUGACACAGAUACCGUGUUUCUGGCAGAACUUGACAAGAGAAUCGCGUUGGAAGUAAGGGUGUGUCUCUAUCUGAUUCACUGCAGGCUUGAUCUUGGAGUAAGCCAAGCAAUCUCUCGUUAGAAAGACAUCACAGUUACUGUAAUGGUCAAAUAAAUUAGAAAUCAGCGACUAAACAAAGAGCUUGUUAAGAUAUUGAGAGAUGCUGAACCUGAGUCCAAUGCUGCGGACCAAGCCCAUGGAAACAAGCUUUUCCAUGUCGUGCCAUGUAGUUUCCAGAGAGAUUGUUGUAUCUAGGUCCAAUACCCCAUCAUCGCCCAAAGCACUAUCGGUUGUUCCUACUCCUGCAACAUGUAUAGAGACGGGAAGGGCUUACAUGUUACAGCUUAUUAUUCGAUAUGUGUACCAAUUGAUAGAGACUUGAGAAAGCUUAAUGUCAGUCAGCUGUAAAAAAGUAAUAAAAUGAAAUGUCAUGGUCUCUACUCGAAACUGAUAUUUCAGCCUAACCCGUGUGUUUCGUAGCUACGGGUAAAUGAACGAGGAAAAGGUCGAGGUAAUCAAGUUGAAGUUUCUUGAGACUGUCUUUGCACGCCUCAAUAACAUGGCCAUGGUCUGAACUCCAUAGCUGCAAAACCAAGCAGAUUCAGUACUCAGAGCUUUCUCACUU
rnacentral:lncRNA from 1 species